AAAUACUCUUUCCAUGUCUAUUGAUUAACUAAAACUUUAAAGAAUGUAAUUUCAUGCAUAAAAAGAUAAAAUAUAACGAUAUUUUGAACCGAUAAAAAUAUAAUCUCAAACAACGUUUAUUAAGACAUGAAAAUUUUAACUGCUUAAAGCUAAAUCAUCUAAUUUAUUUAUCAAAAUUACAAAGAUAAACAUUGUCUAUCCGCAUACUUUGACUUCUUAUUAUUAUUGUUACAAUAUUACACUUUAAAAAUUUGAUCUUGCAAUUUGACCAUUUCAUGCAAGUACAUUGUGGUCCUACCAUGAUUUACUUAGAUUCUCUAAAUUUUGAGAUCAACCACAUAUUUUUACUUUGGGUAAAAUUUCAUCCAAAUUUUGAGAUCAAACGUAUGUUUUUACUUGAUAACAUUGGGUAAAAUUUCAUUCAAAUUUUGAGAUCAAAUGUAUAUAUUUACUUGAUAGCAUCGGGUAAACUUUCAUCCUCUCUUACUUAAUUAAGAUAUUCAUUUUACAUUAAGUCAAACUUGAGAGCAAGAACAUUGAUUGAGAUUAACACUUAACUCAACCCUUACGGAAUUUCUUGAGUUUUUUUCUCUAUUUUUCUUUUGAAGGAGCACUUUAAAAUGUUUUACCUCAUAACUAUAGCAUGCACCUUUCUGACACUCAUAAGACUUUUAUGGAUUCAAAUAAUAUUUUGCAAGUUUUUCGAUUUUUUGCAACCAUAUAUUAGAAUGAAAUGGAAUAUUCUAGUUCUUAUAAAGUGAUUAUAUUUGUAAACAUGGUGUAAAAAGGAAGUGAUUUGUACGUAAGUAAAAGAAUACAUUUGUUGGCAGAAAGGAGGGCUCCACAGCAAUUCCAAUAAUCUUUUGGAUUCCAUUUUGCCCCUGCAGUCAAAUAUAUUUAUUCAUUUCUUUGUACUUAAUAGUCAUCUUACCUCAGGCAAAUGGGAUGCUACUUGGUCUAGAGACAAAGUCUGUCCAUCAAUGGUAAUAUACGUCCAGGCUUCAGAAUAUCAUUCAAUCCUAAACCUAUAAAAAAAUAUUCUCAAAACCUAUUCAAAAUUGAAAUAAAAUUAUAAUCCAUUUUGGUUUUCAUUUCGGGUGGUCAAAAGUGCAUGUAGCUAAUCCAAAUCCUAACCAGGUAACUCAAAGUGGGUCUUUAACCAUAAAAAAUGUAAGAAAUAGUAAUGUACUUUCUAUUUAAAGAACAUUAUUAUAAAAAGAUAGAUAUUUCAAACUAUAACAUUGUAACAGGAAAAAAUAAAAAUUAAGAUGCUAUCAAAAAGUCAAACAUAGCAGCCUAUCCAAAUUUAACCAUGUUCAGUAUCUCAAACUGUUUAAAAUUUACAAUGUAUCUUCAUGCUCUUGUAUAAAAUAUCACAUAUUUGAUAUGUUUUACAAUGUAUCUUAAAACUAUACAUAACACACAUAACUAAUUUCAUAUGUGCAAUCUACUAUACAUAAUUGUUUUCAAAUUAUAUAUAUAAUUAAUUAAUAUGAACGAUCACACAUACAUUUUCACCUUAAUUAUGAAACUUCCUUUUAUAGUCAUGUCUAGAAACAAAAAACUAAAACAUGAUUCCAAAUUAUAAAAAAUAAAAAUUUGACACCCAGAUACCUACAUGCUAAAUUCCAAACAUGAUUGUUAUAAGGUAAUACAUUUAUCUUUAAGCAUAAAUACACAAUUACACAAAAAAUAAAUUUUAAGCAUUAAAGCACAAGAGAACAUAACUAAUAGAUAACAUAUACCUUUAUUGCCCCAUGAAAAUUGGUUUGGCAGACAAUUUGCCUGUCAUAUCAUAAUUAACCUAAUCCUUGUUCUUUGAGUAUACAAAUUUCAUUUAAAAGGAUUUUGACAAUGUCAAAAUCCUAAUAAUAAAAGUUAGAAACACACAUACCUUAAAACUGCCAAAUACACAUACCUUUUCACCAUGUUCAACAACAUAUCCACUAUAACCCUCACAAAUUGAUUAGGCAAGUGAUCUCUAUCAAGUAGAAAAACGAAACUACAAAAUUGAUGUAAGCAUACUUAUAGAAUUUCCUUUUUCUGGUGAUGUUCUUAGACCUAGCACUACACAUGAGACCAAAGAUAUUUCAUUGAGAAAAAGUACUUUGAUUUCCAUCAAAAGAUUUAAAGUUUCAGAUAUAUAUAUAUAUAUAUAUCAAAACACCAUUAAUAAAAUUUAGAAAUGUGUUAAUAUAAUGAUAGAAGAUGAUAGAAGAUGAAAAUUAGUUAUUAAAACGAAAAAUGUGAUCAUACCUUACACAUGGUUGGAGUUAUAUUCUGGAAUAUUCUGGAAUGGGCUUAGUAAACAGCAAUAAACAAAAAAAAAACGUAAAAUCUACAAAAUCGAAAUCGACCUUUAAUAAAUCGUUUGUACUGUGGAUGGAAUGGAGGAUCGAUUCGGAGACCAUCACAUAGUCGUUAAUAACCCUCAGGAAAACUUGAGCCAUAUCAAUUCUAUGGCAGAUAAGAGAAGGAAUGGGAUAGAGAGGUGUAUUCGUAAUCCAUAAAAAGUUGCAACAUGUAGGUUUCAAAUUUUGGAUAAGAUUUGGUUGUUGAUUUCUUGAGAUGUAGACAGAAAUCCAUUUCAAUAUAUCCCUAAUUUUAUGCUGAGAACUUUAAAAUCAGAAACCAAAUCACAUAGAGGAACAGGAACAUGAUAAGAGGGCAUGUUGGCGAUCUAAUCGAAGAAAAUGAACAAAGUUUCCAAAACAAAGGAGAGAUUUAGGGAAUAAACGGAUGCGACGUAGGAAUAAAGAUAUUUUGGGUUUUAA
rnacentral:lncRNA from 1 species